UGUGGCGAGGGUGUGGGUGACUCGCGGAGGCGCCUGGCCGCGGGGAAGGAGGCUGAGCGGCGGGUCCCCAGUGGCUCGGAUCUGGCCAGACUUUUGGAGGAAAAGCAGCAGCCCUGGUGUGAAGAGAAAGGAGACUGUGUUCUUGUUCCCAGAUUUAUUUAUGCAUACCAGAGUUGGGGUAUGCAGCAGUGGCUGGUGAUAGCUUGAUAGCAUUGAGAUUUUAACCCCUGCACUACCAGGCUUGUUUCGUGGACACACAGGUUACUGUACUGGAGAAAACUUUAUGACCGAUGGAGAAGAUUUAUUUAUUGAUACAGGAACCGGGGUACAGGCCAGAUGCCUGGGAGGGUGAGAGGAUUCACCAGAGAGAGCGGGGAACAGAACAGGCAGACUGAAUGAAACACACUGCUGAGGGGAGCAGCGGGCAAGAGAGGAGAGGUCUGCUGCUGCGCCAUGUGGGAUUCCCGCCGGCUGGUGAGGAUCGAACCCACGCUGCAGAGGCCGCGGACAGCUUCACAGUGUGGCGCUCAACCGCCUGCACCACCAGAGAGGCCCAGGAACAUUUCAUACUUUGAAAUACAUCCAGCUGUGGUGUCAGGAGGAAGCUGUAAACUCAGGUGAAUUGUGUGUGCCAGUGACUGGUGCUGGGAAGGGCCAGCGCUGUUGCGGCCAAGCCCUUCCCUCCCCCCAAGACUCCUGUUCCAGUGCGAGUUCUCACCUCUGAUCACCUCAGUGGUUGUGAGUGUCUCGGCUGAGCAACGUGGGCCUCAUCUCAUGUUUCCACCCACAUGGAGAAAUGCCUCAUCGGAACCCAUGUGCCCCAAAACAUGUCAAACUCACCUGUGCAGGGUGAUGGGUUUGGAGACAUCCAUCCCUGGCUCCAGUUCAGGAGCUCCUGGAGGGCACCUGUAUACACUUGUGGGGUCUGAUUAAUAAAGUUAAAACCAAGCCCCGCUCCUUGCCCAGCAGGGACUGGUUGCCUUGGGGACGAGGCCAUCAGACAGACCACCGUGACCAGAAAUGUAGAGGCCAGUGCCCAAGACCAGACAUCCAAGCAGGGAGGCGUGAGAGCUGAGAGGCCGCAUCCUGGCUGACGUGCUCUGCCCAACGUGGCAGAAGCAUCUCAUUUGUCGCUCCCCGUCCAGAACGACAGGAGGGGCAGACAGGAGGCUGCCAGAUGGAAUUCUUCAAGACUCUACGUGCUCCGUCACAGACUAUAAUGCCUGCUCCUGAGCUGACGGGGACCCCUCAUUUACGGACCCCUUCAGCUGACCAGUGGGCGCCCUGUGUCAGUGCCUGUGCCUCUCCAAGGCAGCAGCAUGAGAUUGGCUUGUGAGCCACACAAAGUUGCCCCCAUCCGCAGGUCACACACAGAUGCUGGCAUCAGCACCACCCUAGGUACAACAAAGUGGGGCUUGCAGCACUGGGCUGGUGGUGGUUACCAGAUCAAGAGCAGGCGUCCCGGGGAAGAAUUCUGCCAAGAUAGUGACUAAGGUUGAAACCUGUUUGUCUAUUGAAAAAAAAAAAAUCUCAAACUUCCUACUCCUAGGAAGGCUGUCAGGUAUUUCUUUUCCAAAACAACUUAAAGAUUGAAAUGAGUCAUUUCAAGAGAGAUGAGUCCAGCACAAAACUUCCAAGAAGUAAAAAAUCAAAGCAACACAGCACCACAGCACGGUCAUGAGUCCCGGUAACGAUUCACAAGACUUGCAGUCGGCAAGACAUUCAAGAACAAUCAAAACAGGUAUUUCCAUGUUGUAAGGAAGUUAAGAGCUACAAGAAAAUGCAGAAUGACAAUUCCAGUGUCAGAAAAACACAUCAACAAAGGUAAAAUAUAACAAAGGCAUUAAAGGCACCAAAACAUCCUGCUACAGCCUGUACCACCAAGUAAACACAAACAAAGGCAAAAAAAGAGAAAGGUAACACACAAAAUAGAAGUAUUUGAUUCUUGACAUAAUCUCUCUAAAUGAAUAAAUUCACCAAUGGAAGACAGAGAGUGAGUGGAUUUAACCAAAGACCGUACUAUAUAGCCAAGGAAGGAAGACUAUAUUUCACACAAAAGAAAUCCAAGAAUGAGGGGUUAGCUAUACUCCUAGCACAAUAAAUAUGCUUCAAGCCAAAAACUGUAAUAAGAGAUGAAGAUUAUUAUAGAACAAGGUAUCAACACUUAAUGAGAUGCAGCAAUCAUAUACUUAAUUGAAUCUAACAUCAGAGCAUAUAUAAAUGAAGCAAUUUAGAUCUGAAGGAAGAAACAGACAAUGAUUUAACAAUAGUAGAUAUAUUCAAUUUAACAAUAGUAUCAUGCUUUCUUUAAUGGGUAGGUCAUCUAUAAAAAAUGGACUUAGACAUAUAUAGAACAGCCCAAAGAGCAGCAAAAUAUAUGUUCUUCAGAUGCACAAAAAGCAUUAUCCAAGAAAGAUCAUGAGAUAAAAUAUAAAACAAAUGUGAGCAAAUUUAAGAUGAUUCAAAUCAUACCAACUAUCUUUCUGAACAUGAUAUAAAACUAGAAAUCUGCAAGGUGAAAGUUGGACAAUCUACAAAUAAAUGGAAAGUAAAUAAGGGCCUCCCUGGUGGUGCAGGCAGUUGAGCCCCGUAUUGUGAAGUGGUCUGC